rnacentral:rRNA from 1 species
CAGUCGCCGCGGUAAAACGAAGGGGGCUAGCGUUGUUCGGAAUUACUGGGCGUAAAGCGCACGUAGGCGGAUACUUAAGUCAGGGGUGAAAUCCCGGGGCUCAACCCCGGAACUGCCUUUGAUACUGGGUAUCUCGAGUCCGGAAGAGGUGAGUGGAAUUCCGAGUGUAGAGGUGAAAUUCGUAGAUAUUCGGAGGAACACCAGUGGCGAAGGCGGCUCACUGGUCCGGUACUGACGCUGAGGUGCGAAAGCGUGGGGAGCAAACAGGAUUAGAUACCCCUGUAGUCCCUGUCUCUUAUAC